CUUCGCUGUAGGUUGUAAACAGAAUUAUUAGGUUAUAUUUAGCCUUAUAAACAACACCCAUGAUCAACCAAUCCCCAUCUCCCAUUGUAGCACUUUAUUAACGUUCUCUUAGUAAUGUCUCAUUUAUUCAGACUAAUUGCGUGUCGGGUUUUUUUUUAUUUUUUUUGUCUUCCGUUUUCUAAAAGUUUACAUAUUGAUUUGCCUGUUUGGUGUUGAAGAGGUAUAUAAUACGAUAGGACCAAUUUCUCUAAAAUGACUUGAAUGACUCUUUUACCUACGGUGUAUUGUAAUUACUUAAUAAAAACGCCCCAAGGUCACCCAGUGACUUUACCCACAACCCCCUUUAUUUAUUUACACCAUAUCCACGUAAAGCGUUUUCCAUUAAGACCCGUUAGAGAGGGUUUACCGGGGCAGCGCUGCCCGGCAGCAGACCUUCUAUCCUCACUGUCGACUAUGAUGAGGAACAGGUCUAACAGAGGUCUGUCCAUCCGUGCAGAGAUGCCGUUGUCUUUGAUAGUGGUACCGCGGUAGUCUAACUGGUGUGGGUCCCUCUAGGAGCAACACGUCCACUCCAAUGAAGUAUCUGUCGCUAGAGAAUCACACCUUGACAAGCCAUUGAGUCUAGACAUUACCGCACAGCCCAAUUACCCUCUAAAAUGACCGCACGGUACGGAUCAAUAACGAACAGCAUUGAAUCAGAAUCGAAUGAAUCAAAUGGAUGCUAUUGACAUUGUUUACAACAUUUCGUUUUUUAUUUUUUUAUUAUACAAUCUCACCAAAACGACAUAAUUAGUUAGAUCUAUUAGCGAAUAACGCGCUAGAAAAAUAAACAACCAUUCAAUAAUAUCGAGUCUCUCGGAUGAUUCUUCUUCUGGAGAUAUUACAGAUGCAUGAAUGAAUGCGUUUAACAACUUAACCGGUGGGGCGGAAAUGAGAAGAGCACCUGGUAGUGUGUUCAGACAGACGGUCAGGUGCAGAGUACAUCCGGACCCACAGCGCCGCUUAGUGGAGAAGUUUAGGGAACUGCAGACGAGGUUGUGGAAGCUGGUUAGUUUCUAUAGCAACCUUCCAGACUGUUCUCUUCUGAGGGGGGGGAGAGAGAGAGAUGUUAUUGUCUGAUGUUAAAUAGAACUAGAGGACGGAAGGAUUGACUGACGACCUGAUUUGACAGGUGUUUUCUUUGUACCCGAUUCAUGCUGCUGCACAGCACUGACUUUGAGUUAUGUAGAAAUAUAAUUUAAAUCAUAAGGAAAAUGAUUUGGGCAGCUAUUUUCACGUACUGGGAUGAAUGGUUAUAUAUGGUGUAGUCUAGACAGGCAGAGAAAUGAGAGACAGACAGAGACCUAAUACUGCAGGUAGAAAUGUAUUGAUAUCAGAAUCAAUAGAAAC
rnacentral:lncRNA from 1 species